rnacentral:rRNA from 1 species
AGUGAACGCUGGCGGUAGGCCUAACACAUGCAAGUCGAACGGCAGCACGGGAGAGCUUGCUCUCUGGGUGGCGAGUGGCGGACGGGUGAGGAAUACAUCGGAAUCUACUCUGUCGUGGGGGAUAACGUAGGGAAACUUACGCUAAUACCGCAUACGACCUACGGGUGAAAGCAGGGGACCUUCGGGCCUUGCGCGAUUGAAUGAGCCGAUGUCGGAUUAGCUAGUUGGCGGGGUAAAGGCCCACCAAGGCGACGAUCCGUAGCUGGUCUGAGAGGAUGAUCGGCCACACUGGAGCUGAGACACGGUCCAGACUCCUACGGGAGGCAGCAGUGGGGAAUAUUGGACAAUGGGCGCAAGCCUGAUCCAGCCAUACCGCGUGGGUGAAGAAGGCCUUCGGGUUGUAAAGCCCUUUUGUUGGGAAAGAAAUCCAGCUGGCUAAUACCCGGUUGGGAUGACGGUACCCAAAGAAUAAGCACCGGCUAACUUCGUGCCAGCCGCCGCAGUAA